rnacentral:rRNA from 1 species
AGAUUGAACGCUGGCGGCAUGCUUUACACAUGCAAGUCGAACGGCAGCGCGGGGCAACCUGGCGGCGAGUGGCGAACGGGUGAGUAAUAUAUCGGAACGUACCCAAGAGUGGGGGAUAACGUAGCGAAAGUUACGCUAAUACCGCAUACGAUCUAAGGAUGAAAGCAGGGGACCGCAAGGCCUUGUGCUCCUGGAGCGGCCGAUAUCUGAUUAGCUAGUUGGUAGGGUAAAGGCCUACCAAGGCUACGAUCAGUAGCUGGUCUGAGAGGACGACCAGCCACACUGGAACUGAGACACGGUCCAGACUCCUACGGGAGGCAGCAGUGGGGAAUUUGGACAA